UACGUAGGGUGCAAGCGUUGUCCGGAAUUAUUGGGCGUAAAGAGCUCGUAGGCGGUGUGUCACGUCGGCCGUGAAAACCUGCAGCUUAACUGUGGGCGUGCGGUCGAUACGGGCAUCACUGGAGUUCGGCAGGGGAGACUGGAAUUCCUGGUGUAGCGGUGAAAUGCGCAGAUAUCAGGAGGAACGCCGGUGGCGAAGGCGGGUCUCUGGGCCGAUACUGACGCUGAGGAGCGAAAGCUAGGGGAGCAAACGGG
rnacentral:rRNA from 1 species